rnacentral:rRNA from 1 species
UACACUCCUGCGGGAGGCAGCAGUGAGGAAUAUUGGACAAUGGGUGGAAGCCUGAUCCAGCCAUCCCGCGUGCAGGAAGACGGCCCUAUGGGUUGUAAACUGCUUUUAUCUGGGGAUAAACCUACUUACGUGUAAGUAGCUGAAGGUACCAGAAGAAUAAGCACCGGCUAACUCCGUGCCAGCAGCCGCGGUAAUACGGAGGGUGCAAGCGUUAUCCGGAUUUAUUGGGUUUAAAGGGUCCGUAGGCGGACUGAUAAGUCAGUGGUGAAAUCCGACAGCUUAACUGUCGAACUGCCAUUGAUACUGUUAGUCUUGAGUAAGGUUGAAGUGGCUGGAAUAAGUAGUGUAGCGGUGAAAUGCAUAGAUAUUACUUAGAACACCAAUUGCGAAGGCAGGUCACUAAGUCUUAACUGACGCUGAUGGACGAAAGCGUGGGGAGCGAACAGGAUUAGAAACCCCGGUAGUCCCAUG